rnacentral:rRNA from 1 species
AUUGAACGCUGGCGGAAUGCUUUACACAUGCAAGUCGAACGGCAGCACGGGGGCAACCCUGGUGGCGAGUGGCGAACGGGUGAGUAAUACAUCGGAACGUGCCCGGUCGUGGGGGAUAACGUAGCGAAAGUUACGCUAAUACCGCAUACGAUCUGAGGAUGAAAGCGGGGGACCUUCGGGCCUCGCGCGAUCGGAGCGGCCGAUGUCAGAUUAGGUAGUUGGUGGGGUAAAGGCCUACCAAGCCGACGAUCUGUAGCUGGUCUGAGAGGACGACCAGCCACACUGGGACUGAGACACGGCCCAGACUCCUACGGGAGGCAGCAGUGGGGAAUUUUGGACAAUGGGCGCAAGCCUGAUCCAGCCAUUCCGCGUGCAGGACGAAGGCCUUCGGGUUGUAAACUGCUUUUGUAUGGAACGAAAAGGCUCUAGCUAAUACCUGGGGCUCAUGACGGUACCGUAAGAAUAAGCACCGGCUAACUACGUG